rnacentral:rRNA from 1 species
CACGUAGUUAGCCGAGGCUUCUUCUGCAGGUACCGUCACAAUCGCUUCGUCCCUGCCGAAAGAGGUUUACAACCCGAGGGCCUUCAUCCCUCACGCGGCGUCGCUGCAUCAGGCUUUCGCCCAUUGUGCAAGAUUCCCCACUGCUGCCUCCCGUAGGAGUCUGGGCCGUAUCUCAGUCCCAGUGUGGCUGGUCGUCCUCUCAGACCAGCUACCCGUCGUCGCCUUGGUGGGCCGUUACCCCACCAACAAGCUGAUAGGCCGCGAGCCCAUCCCUCACCGGCGGACCUUUCCCGAUCCCGCCAUGCGGUGGGAGCGGAGUAUCCGGUAUUAGCUCCGGUUUCCCGGGGUUAUCCCAGAGUGAGGGGCAGGUUGCCCACGUGUUACGCACCCGUUCGCCACUGAUCCCGGAGCCGAAGCCCCGUUCACCGUUCGACUUGCAUGUGUUAGGCGCGCCGCCAGCGUUCGUCCUGAGCCAGGAUCAAACUACU